rnacentral:ncRNA from 1 species
UUACUAUGGUCAGGAUAGGACUGAGAAUCCAAUAAAAGGCCAAUUUGUGGAAGUGAACCUUCUGCACUAAACCAUCAAAUUGACGGGGAAGCCCUAAAGCUAUUUCAACCAAACAAGUAUGGUAACAUAAUUUGUGGCACAGGUAAUGACUCGUGGUUAUUUUUUUGCCUCAGCGCAGCAGCCCAGUCUUCUUUUUUCAUUUUUUUUCAAUAUAUAAUAUCAUAUAAAAAAAAAAAGAAGACAAGGGGAACUUUUUUUUUGUUCUUUUGCUUGUGAGCAAAAGGACAAAAAAAAAGUAACAAUGCGAAAAAAAAAAUUAGGUAAAAUCGAAAUAGAUGUACGAAAGGAAAUGGGUAAUCCGCAGCCAAGCAGCAUAAUGAUUAUUUAUUAUUAUGGUGUGCAGUUCAUCGACUAAAUGUUGGUUGGCUUUUUUUUAAUUAGCUUAAGAUAUAGUCAAGCCCCAUCCGAAAGGGUGCA